UACGGGAGGCAGCAGUGGGGAAUAUUGCACAAUGGGCGCAAGCCUGAUGCAGCCAUGCCGCGUGUAUGAAGAAGGCCUUCGGGUUGUAAAGUACUUUCAGUCGUGAGGAAGGUGUUAAAGUUAAUAACCCUAGCAAUUGACGUUAGCGACAGAAGAAGCACCGGCUAACUCCGUGCCAGCAGCCGCGGUAAUACGGAGGGUGCGAGCGUUAAUCGGAAUUACUGGGCGUAAAGGGCACGCAGGCGAUUAAUUAAGUUGGAUGUGAAAUCCCCGGGCUUAACCUGGGAAUGGCAUUCAAGACUGGUUAGCUAGAGUCUUGUAGAGGGGGUUAGAAUUCCAUGUGUAGCGGUGAAAUGCGUAGAGAUGUGGAGGAAUACCGGUGGCGAAGGCGGCCCCUGGGACAAAGACUGACGCUCAUGUGCGAAAGCGUGGGGAGCAAACAGGGAUUAGGAUACC
rnacentral:rRNA from 1 species